UAUAGAGUGCCUGAUUAAAGGAUAAUUUUGAUAGAAUUAAUAAUGUGUAUCCACACCUCUAUAA
rnacentral:tRNA from 1 species